GUCUUUCCAUUUAUAAAUAAAUAUGCAAUUACAAUUCCGAACCGCUAGAUGGCAAUUGUAGCCCUACUGAGACAGGACUACUGGCAACGCGAGACUUGAAAGUUAGUAGAGAUCACUGUUGCAAGAUCCCGCGAUAAUUUCUUUGUGAAUUUUGUUUUUACACAAGAGAACAUUAAGUUUACCUGUGGGAAAGCAACAGGAAACAACAGUAAAGGACAUUCCUGCUUGGUCUUUGAACACACAUUCAGAAGAAUUGGACAAACUGAGGAGUUUCUACAUCUGCAAAAAGCUGUUGGAAAUGAGGAGAUCCGGACAGCAAUGCUGUUAAAGUGCAGAAUUGAAGGAAGAAACCUCAAAGACAGUGCCAAAAGGAUGCUGGAAAGGGUUUAAAAAAUUCCCUCAUGUCCAAAUUCAACAUUAAGGAGGUGGUCCACUGCAGAAGGAGUCAUUUGAAAAGACUGCACUGUUCUCAGUCAUUAGUGAUGCAGUGAUGACCAACUUCCCCGUAGCAACAGAGUUGUAUUUGAGGAAUGCAGUUGGGAAACAUUUUAUGCAACAACAAAAACAACAUAGUAUGUUUCCUUUGAGUUCACUGUUGGUUGUUUUAUUUGUUAAAAUAAGUAAACCAAAAAAAUGAUUUUUUUUUUUUUUUUUUUUUUUUUAAUUGUCAUUUAUCCACAAUGUUUUAAUGUUAAGUGUGAUAACAUGCUCUUGAUUUGUUUUGGUUUAUUUCUUUUAAAUAUCAUAAGUAUUUAAAAUGUAUAUAUUGUUCAUUUUUAUGAUUUUUUUAUUAUCUUAAGUUGUUAAAUUCCAUAUUUUUAUCAUAAUAUUUAUAUUUAAGUGUAAUGUAUUUAUAAUAUUUUAUUUUGUCAUUAAUUCUUUUGCAUUUUUAUAAUUUUGUAUUGUCUUAAGUUGUUAAUGUUAUUUUUCUUAAUAAAAGCUGUAUAUGUAGUUUGUUUGGA